UUUCUGAAUUAAUAACUAGACGGUGAGUAAUGUACACUGUUUUCUCUCUUUUGAAGGACUGAGAAAAUAACUUGCAAGUUCAACUGCUGUGGACAGCAGAGUUAUGAUGUAGAAUGGAACUUCAAGAAUGGAUGUCCAGUAUUCAUCUUUGAAAGGAAUAUUACUGGCUUGCCAAAUUAGAGAAGAUAUUGAUAUUAUUGGAGGAGCAGCUUCCUGAGAGAGGAUAAUCCAGUGAUACAGUAGAUGAUUGUUAUAUAUAAAGUAUUUUAUUGCCUUUCACGCUCCAGUUUGACCUCCAGUCCCUGCUAAAUGAAGAAGCUAUCACAGUAAGAUAAUGUGCUUAUCUCAUUUUUAAUGAAAAUGAAUUAGUGCCAGUGACAAUGCUGUGACAAACAAAAUGCUCUAAACUUUUAUUCUCAUCAGGGGGGAUAUAUUUUACUCAUUUUGAAGGGGAAGCUGGUAGGUGGUAAGGCAGCCUUCUCUUUUCCCACAAAUGUCUGCUGAUACUGUUUUUAAAAAUAAAAUGAGGGAAAGUCCUGUA
rnacentral:lncRNA from 1 species